AGAGUUUGAUCCUGGCUCAGGAUGAACGCUGGCGGCGUGCCUAAUACAUGCAAGUCGAGCGAACGGACGAGAAGCUUGCUUCUCUGAUGUUAGCGGCGGACGGGUGAGUAACACGUGGAUAACCUACCUAUAAGACUGGGAUAACUUCGGGAAACCGGAGCUAAUACCGGAUAAUAUUUUGAACCGCAUGGUUCAAAAGUGAAAGACGGUCUUGCUGUCACUUAUAGAUGGAUCCGCGCUGCAUUAGCUAGUUGGUAAGGUAACGGCUUACCAAGGCAACGAUGCAUAGCCGACCUGAGAGGGUGAUCGGCCACACUGGAACUGAGACACGGUCCAGACUCCUACGGGAGGCAGCAGUAGGGAAUCUUCCGCAAUGGGCGAAAGCCUGACGGAGCAACGCCGCGUGAGUGAUGAAGGUCUUCGGAUCGUAAAACUCUGUUAUUAGGGAAGAACAUAUGUGUAAGUAACUGUGCACAUCUUGACGGUACCUAAUCAGAAAGCCACGGCUAACUACGUGCCAGCAGCCGCGGUAAUACGUAGGUGGCAAGCGUUAUCCGGAAUUAUUGGGCGUAAAGCGCGCGUAGGCGGUUUUUUAAGUCUGAUGUGAAAGCCCACGGCUCAACCGUGGAGGGUCAUUGGAAACUGGAAAACUUGAGUGCAGAAGAGGAAAGUGGAAUUCCAUGUGUAGCGGUGAAAUGCGCAGAGAUAUGGAGGAACACCAGUGGCGAAGGCGACUUUCUGGUCUGUAACUGACGCUGAUGUGCGAAAGCGUGGGGAUCAAACAGGAUUAGAUACCCUGGUAGUCCACGCCGUAAACGAUGAGUGCUAAGUGUUAGGGGGUUUCCGCCCCUUAGUGCUGCAGCUAACGCAUUAAGCACUCCGCCUGGGGAGUACGACCGCAAGGUUGAAACUCAAAGGAAUUGACGGGGACCCGCACAAGCGGUGGAGCAUGUGGUUUAAUUCGAAGCAACGCGAAGAACCUUACCAAAUCUUGAUAUCCUUUGACAACUCUAGAGAUAGAGCCUUCCCCUUCGGGGGACAAAGUGACAGGUGGUGCAUGGUUGUCGUCAGCUCGUGUCGUGAGAUGUUGGGUUAAGUCCCGCAACGAGCGCAACCCUUAAGCAUAGUUGCCAUCAUUAAGUUGGGCACUCUAAGUUGACUGCCGGUGACAAACCGGAGGAAGGUGGGGAUGACGUCAAAUCAUCAUGCCCCUUAUGAUUUGGGCUACACACGUGCUACAAUGGACAAUACAAAGGGCAGCGAAACCGCGAGGUCAAGCAAAUCCCAUAAAGUUGUUCUCAGUUCGGAUUGUAGUCUGCAACUCGACUACAUGAAGCUGGAAUCGCUAGUAAUCGUAGAUCAGCAUGCUACGGUGAAUACGUUCCCGGGUCUUGUACACACCGCCCGUCACACCACGAGAGUUUGUAACACCCGAAGCCGGUGGAGUAACCUUUUAGGAGCUAGCCGUCGAAGGUGGGACAAAUGAUUGGGGUGAAGUCGUAACAAGGUAGCCGUAUCGGAAGGUGCGGCUGGAUCACCU
rnacentral:rRNA from 1 species